rnacentral:rRNA from 1 species
AUUGAACUCUGUCGUCAGGCCUAACACAUGCAAGUCGAACGAGUGGCGGACGUGUUAGUAAUGUCUGGGAAACUGCCUGAUGGAUGGGGCUAACUCCUGGAAACGGUAGCUAAUACCGCAUACCAUCUGCUGUACCCAUCUGGGAUUAGCUCGUAGGUGGGGUAACGGCUCACCUAGGCGACGAUCCCUAGCUGGUCUGAGAGGAUGACCAGCCACACUGGAACUCAGAGACGGUGCAGACUCCUACGGGAGGCAGCAGUGGGGAAUAUUGCACAAUGGGAGCAAGACGGAUGCAGACAUGCGGCGGGGAUGAAGAAGGCCUGCGGGUUGGAAAGGACAUUCAGCGGGGAGGCGUUACACGCAGAAGAAGUACUGGCUAAAUCCGUGCCAGCAGCCGCGGUAAUUC